UGGUGGCCCCGCCUGCUCUCCCCACUGCCUCAUCUACCCACCACGGCCUCGCCCCAUCGGCCGCCGCCUCCUCUCCCCACCAUGGCCUCGGCCCGCCGCCUUCUCUCCCCACCACGACCUCACCUUGCCGGCUUGCCGCUAACCCCGCCGUUCUUCCCUAGAUCGACUCUGUCGCCGCCGUCCACAUCUUCCAGCGCAGAUCAAGAUGCGAGCUAGAGGAGCAUCCUGGAAACGAUGCGGCAGCGGGCAUCUCGGAGCGGGCCGAGUUCCAGUUCGUCUACGUGCCCACCGUGAUAGUCGACCUCGUGCUUCGCUCCCACACCUGCUCCGAGAAGGCGCUCCUAGCUCGCCUACGUGGUCGGUUGCCCCAGGAUGUAGCUUGGGAAGGUCAUACUGUUGGAGUUGAAGCAGUUGUAGAUUUCUUCAAGGCAAAAAUAAAGCAUUUGCACUUGGUGAGAUGAAAAAGAGGAUGGCACAGGUGAUGCAAGGAACCGACGGCCUGUUUGCAGCGAAGAAGGUGAGGCGUGAGCAGCCGCGCAUGUAAUGGCCAGUGGAGGGCGGCUAGGGAAGGCGGUGGCGGUGUUUUCGUGCGGCGAGGUCGCCGUCCAGGAAGGCGAAGGCGAUGAUGUUUCUGAGCGGCGAGGGGAUAUCCGUGGGAUAUGUUUCUUGUUUUUGGAUUUGCAAGGUCAAUUAUUAUUUGUGGGAAUGGAAGAUACGUGUUUGAAUUUGUUUGGAAGACCUACGUGAUUGUAGGGAUUGUGUUUGCUUUCGCAUGGAAGUUUUCCUCCGCGGUGGAGUAUGGUCAGUCAAUAUAUCUCUACUCA